CCAACCUCUCCUCCCCUCACUCUCCACUCCCUGUCCACUCCAUCACACACGAUCCCUAGAUCUCAGCGGAGGCACCUACUCCACUCCCUCCGCUCUCGCCCCCGUAGCCGGCGACCUUGUCUCCCACCGCCGCCCCUCUCAUCCCCCCUCCACUCAUCAACGACGGCUAGAUGCGCACACAACCGGUGACCAACAUCAUGCAAGGUCGCCACUGCCGUCGUCGAAGGAUAGUCUUCCCACAUCGCUAGCCGCAGCCUCCGCCUCGCCCCGAUUCUCGUCCUCCUCGACCGCCACUCGCUCUCCUUGGCAGCACCUCACCGCCUCCCUGCCCAUGCCGUGUCCGCCGACAGCCCUACUCAUGCCGACCUCGCUAAUCAUGCGGUAGCGCUUGGCUGUGCUCACCUUGUCCUCGUCGGCGUCGCGGCCGCAGGCCACGUGAACUACAACUCCGCUGCCAGUGGCGACGAGUCCUUCCUGUGCCUCUACUGCCUCGUGGCUGAGUCCUCCUCUCCCCAAAUUGACAUCCACCCCUUUGUCGAGCCCGCCGUGCCAGCGACAUGAACAAGAUGGUGUACACCGACUCUGGAUGAGGUCAACGCUGAUGGCGACUCGAACGGUUCGUGGAGCUGUACCAGGAUCCUAUAGAGCAGAUGGGCAUCAUCGAGAUGCAGUACACUCGUGCAGUACACACUCUCUUAGGCAGAAGGAUUGGACAAGAAAUACCAAGGCACACAUGUUUGUCUCUUUGAAGAGAGACAACAAAUCCCUAUGCCCAUGAAACGACUUAGAUGAUAAGCAUCACCGGAGGUUCAAAAUAAGAAGAGUACUUAAGAGGAAUCUUUCUAUAGGUUAAGUAUAUGUUCUUAUGCGUACCUUUGCAUCUUGUCCUAUAAUAUGUUAUUGUUCUGUGUUACCUCAAAGGUUUCAUGGUUCUUAUUCAAAUAAAAUAAGAACAGAUCACUUUGUAUCAUGCUUGCUUUGAUAACACUUUUCAUUUACUUGCGCUUCUAGAA